GAGGUUAAGGGGGACGACCCCCGGAGCCGCAGCGAAGGCGAGUCUGAACAGGGCGUUCAGUUCGUCGGACUAGACCCGAAACCGAGUGAUCUAGCCAUGGCCAGGUUGAAGGUGCGGUAACACGCACUGGAGGACCGAACCCACGCCUGUUGAAAAAGUCGGGGAUGAGCUGUGGCUAGGGGUGAAAGGCCAAUCAAACUCGGAAAUAGCUGGUUCUCCGCGAAAUCUAUUUAGGUAGAGCGUCUCAUGAAUACCAUCGGGGGUAGAGCACUGGAUGGGCUAUGGGGGCUUACCGCCUUACUGAUCCUAACCAAACUCCGAAUACCGAGAAGUACUAUCCGGCAGACACACAGUGGGUGCUAACGUCCAUUGUGGAGAGGGAAACAACCCUGACCGCCAGUUAAGGUCCCUAAGUUAUGGCUAAGUGGGAAAGGAUGUAGGACUCCCAAAACAACCAGGAUGUUGGCUUAGAAGCAGCCAUCAUU
rnacentral:rRNA from 1 species